rnacentral:rRNA from 1 species
GCAAGUCGAGGGAGAAGUCGUCUUCGGAUGACAGAAACCGGCAAACGGGUGAGUAACACGUAUGCAACCUACCUCCAUCUGGGGAAUAGCUCCGGGAAACUGGAAAUAAUACCCCAUAGUACCCGGGUCUCUCAUGGGACCCUGGUUAAAGUUCCGACGGAUGGAGAUGGGCGUGCGUCUGAUUAGGUAGUUGGUGAGGUAACGGCUCACCAAGCCUGCGAUCAGUAGCUGAUGUGAGAGCAUGAUC